rnacentral:tRNA from 1 species
CGUUCUAUUGCCGAAUUGGUAAAGGCGUCGCCGAUCACAGGCGAGGGUGCGGGUUCGAGUCCCGCUGGAACGA